UGGCAUCACCGACUCAAUGGACAUAAGUUUGAGCAAACUCCGGGAGUUGGUGAUGGAUAGGGAGGCCUGGCGUUCUGCGAUUCAUGGGGUCGCAAAGAGUUGGACACGACUGAGUGACUGAACUGAACUGAAAUAUGAAAACAAAAUACUAUAUUUGAGGGUGAUGUUAAAUAAUUCAACGUUUAAUCCUUUAUUUAACUUUUCAAUAUUUGAUCCUUUACUACAUUUUACUACAGUUUGUGAUAUUUAGUGGUGUUUUUAACAAUGUAAGAUAGAAGUUUCGUAUCAUCAGUUAAACAUUUUUUUCUUCUUGUCACAAAAAAAGGAGUUAAAAUAAUAGGUGGAAAGUAAUAUUAUGAUAAACUAAAAUUCAUUUAUUUUUCAACAAAUACUUUUAGGAAAUAAUUCGGUGGGGGUUUUAUUCUGUAUGCAUUGUGUGAAAUUACAGAUGUUUCUGAAUGUCUCAACUAAAGAUAUUUUUUCUAAGUUCUACUUCAGAAGUGAAACAAAGAAAGUGCUUUUCAGAAGGCCAUUAAAAUAAUGAAUCAGACUGAAAGAUCUAUUCUCUACAGAAAACUAUUAAUACUUCUAUAAUAACAACAACAAUUACAAUGAUACUAAUAAUGUUUUCUUGCACAGACUGUGCUAAGUUCAAUCACCAUUGGAGCAGCUGAAAUGGAAACAACAAAUUACAAAGCACAAGGAUUCUGGAGGAUAUAUCUGUAAUUUCUCUAAAAAUUGCUCCCUGCAUCACUCAUAUUCAAAUGAGUAUACGACAAAGUGAAUCAGUUAUACAUCCAUCCACUUUUAAAGCGAGGAGGAGCUUCCUGAUUUGGAAUGUUCUGCAUAAGGCAAAUACCACAGGACAAAGUCUGUGAGAUCAAUCCACACUAGUCUGCCAACUGAUCUUUCAGCUUCCACCAUUCUCCAAUCAGAAGCCAGGAUGAACUUUUAAUUAUAAAUUAGAAUAUGUCAUUCGCUUCCUUGAAACACUUCAAUGGGGGCUUCCCUGGGUGGUCUAGCAGUUAAGAAUCUGACUGCCAAUACAGGGAACGCGGGCUCAAUUCCUGAUCCAGGAAGAUUCCACGUGUCACGGAGCAAGUAAGCCCAAGUACCGCAACUGCUGAGCCCACACAAAUUAGAGCCCUCCUUCGCAACAAGAGAAGACACCACAGUGAGAAGCCUGCACGGCCCAACUAUGCGGCAGUCCCCACUCACUGCAGCCAAAGAAAGCCUGUGCGUAGCGACAAAAACCUAGUGGAGCCAAAAGUAAAUAAAAAAAUCUUAAAAAAAAAAAAAAAAAGCCACCUGGAGCAUUCCCAUUUCCUUAGAAUGAAAUAGAAAUUUUCACCAGGGCUUACCCAGACCCACUUCCCCUUUGCCCACCCGUCUUCACUUCUUCCCACUCUCCCUCUGGUUGACAUACUUUAUUACCAUGUUUCCAACAUGUUCCCUUCAGUCCCACCACCAGAGGAUCUGAAGAAAGCUUCCCUUCUCUGUUGCAAUUUUGUGGGGUUUUCACAUUUGGAUCUCGGCUUAUAAGUCAUCGUCUCAGAGAGGCCCUUUCUGCCUUCUCUGACCAGGCAGAGGAUCAUGUAGGGCACUGACAAAGGGUUCAACAGUGGUUUAUUAGGUUAGUGAGAAAGGGGAGUGAGAGUGUUUUAUACACUAUUAAGCAUAAAAUGCAUGUGAACAUUUGUUAGUUGUUUUUUUUUAAGUAACAAAUGCAUGUAAUAAAAUGUACACUAAUAAAUGAGACCAUGUCUUCAUGGUCACUAUGAGAGAAAGACUGCUCUAGACCUUGUAUUCCAUAAGCAUACACUUAAGAUGUGGAGUAAGACGGAGAACGCUGGAAAUUAUCUAAUUGUCCAGAAAUGAUAACUAAAAAACUCAUUAGCCGCAUGUCUGAGUGUGAAUGCCUGGCAAGUAGGAGGCUUCUUACAGAAGGGAGGUAGAGGCAAGUCUUGAGAUCUGUACAAAGACUCGAUUUACGUUUCAGGAGGUAAUGUGAGGGUGAGGACAAUAAAAUUAUUGUUGCUGAUUUCUUUUUCAUUUUCAUUUCUAUGAAUCAGAAUGUUACUGUAUAAGCUAUAUAAGUGAAUACGAUUUAAGAUAUUUCAUAAAUAGAUUCCAUUUUUCUUCUCUUGAAAUCAGCGACGUUCUAUUCCCUGGCUAUUAAACGUGCAGGCUGAUCCCCAAGGCGCAGUCAGUACUCUGGGUCCGGCAAACAGCUCGUCUCCUGCUCUCCUUCACCUCCACCAGUCUCAUCAAGAGAGACUUGUGUUUGUUCCCAAACUUAUGUAUUCAUUUGUACUUAUUUAUAAAUUAAUAAAAUAUGGUUCCAAAAAAAAACCCCCACAA